rnacentral:rRNA from 1 species
UACGUAGGGUGCGAGCGUUAAUCGGAAUUACUGGGCGUAAAGCGUGCGCAGGCGGUUUUGUAAGCCAGAUGUGAAAUCCCCGGGCUUAACCUGGGAAUGGCAUUUGGGACUGCAAGGCUCGAGUGCGGCAGAGGAGACGUGGAAUUCCCGGUGUAGCGGUGAAAUGCGCAGAUAUCGGGAGGAACACCGAUGGCGAAGGCAGGUCUCUGGGCCGAUACUGAC